rnacentral:rRNA from 1 species
UACGGAGGGUGCAAGCGUUAUCCGGAAUCACUGGGUUUAAAGGGUGCGUAGGCUGCUACAUAAGUCAGGGGUGAAAGUUUGUCGCUUAACGAUAGAAUUGCCUUUGAUACUGUGCGGCUUGAAAUUAGGUGAGGUUGGCGGAAUGUGACAUGUAGCGGUGAAAUGCGUAGAGAUGUCAGAGAACACCGAUUGCGAAGGCAGCUGGCUAACCUAGAGUUGACGCUGAGGCACGAAAGCGUGGGUAGCAAACAGG